CCUACGGGAGGCAGCAGUGAGGAAUAUUGCACAAUGGGGGGGACCCUGAUGCAGCAAUGCCGCGUGAAGGAUGAAGGUUUUCGGAUUGUAAACUUCUUUUGUACGGGGCGAAAAAAGUGGCGGUACCGUAAGAAUAAGCCACGGCUAAAUACGUGCAAGCAGCCGCGGUGAUACGUAGGUGGCAGGCGUUAUCCGGAUUUACUGGGUGUAAAGGGCGAGUAGGCGGGAUUGCAAGUCAGAUGUGAAAACUAUGGGCUCAACCGAUAGAGCGCCUUUGAAACUGCAGUUCUUGAGUGAUGGAGAGGCAGGCGGAAUUCCCGGUGUAGCGGUGGAAUGCGUAGAUAUCGGGAGGAACACCAGUGGCGAAGGCGGCCUGCGGGA
rnacentral:rRNA from 1 species